CCUACGGGAGGCAGCAGUGAGGAAUAUUGGUCAAUGGGCUUACGCCUGAACCAGCCAAGUCGCGUGAGGGAAGACUGCCCUAUGGGUUGUAAACCUCUUUUGUCAGGGAGCAACGCCGGCUACGUGUAGCCGUACUGAGAGUACCUGAGGAAAAGCCAUCGGCUAACUCCGUCCCACCAGCCGCGGUAAUACGGAGGAUGCGAGCGUUAGCCGGAUUUAUUGGGUUUAAAGGGUGCGCAGGCGGAAUGCCAAGUCAGCGGUAAAAUCGAGGGGCUCAACCUCGCUGAGCCGUUGAAACUGGUGUUCUUGAGUGGGCGAGAAGUAUGCGGAAUGCGUGGUGUAGCGGUGAAAUGCAUAGAUAUCACGCAGAACUCCGAUUGCGAAGGCAGCAUACCGGCGCCCAACUGACGCUGAAGCACGAAAGCGUGGGUAUCGAACAGGAUUAGAUACCCUUGUAGUC
rnacentral:rRNA from 1 species